CUUUCACAGCCUUUGAAUAUAAUACGUUUUUCAUCCCAUAAGUAUAAUAAGUUGUGAGAAGGAGGAGUACCAAUCUGUUUUCUGUCACCUGCUUCGGCUGCUACCCAAAAUUGCUGCUCUGCUCCCCAGUAAAGGAGCCAAAGCUGCCCCCGUCACUGUUCGUGAGCACCAGCAGGUUAAUUUCCUGCAAGGAGCUCCCAGCUGUUCUGGUCUGUGGGAAUAUUGAUCUGUUCUUAAAACCAUAAAACUCCACCCCUGCCCACACAAACAUUGCAGUGUCUACUCUAUCAAACAUUGUUCUCGAUGGCAGGCAUGUAAUGGUGAGAAAACAGACCAAUCCUUGCUGGCAUAGAACUUGUAGUCUUGAGGGAAUUUAGACAAUCAAAUAAGGGCACAAAUCAAUGUAGACUUAUUCACAGACUGGAAAUAUGCAGGAGGCCAACAGAGACCCUGACCUCAGCUGGGGAGGGCCACCAUCUACAACAGUGCAUGUUUCUUUAUCAGAGUUGGACUUACACCUAAAAAAA